rnacentral:rRNA from 1 species
GACGAACGCUGGCGGCGUGGAUUAGGCAUGCAAGUCGAACGGUAGGAUACCUUCGGGUAUCUGAGAGUGGCGAACGGGUGAGUAACACGUAGGUGAUCUACCCUCAAGAUUGGGACAACCCAGGGAAACUUGGGCUAAUACCGGAUGAAAGCAGCAGUGAUGUUGUUUGAAAGGUGGCGUAAGCUGCCGUUUGGGGAUGAGCCUGCGCUCUAUUAGUUAGUUGGCGGGGUAAAGGCCCACCAAGGCGAUGAUAGAUAGGCGGCCUUAACGGGUGGUCGCCCACACUGGGAUUGAGAUACGGCCCAGACUCCUACGGGAGGCAGCAGUCGAGAAUAGUCUACAAUGGCCGAAAGGCUGAUAGUGCGACGCCGCGUGAACGAAGAAGCCCUUCGGGUGUAAAGUUCUUUUAUAUGUGAGCAGUGCUUUCUAUGUGAACAGCAUGGGGAGAGAGAUAUUAGCAUAUGAAUAAGCAACGGCUAACUCGUGCCAGC